GCGGAGGAAAAGAAAAUAACAAUGAUUUCCCCAGUAACGGCGAGUGAAGAGGAAAGAGCUCAAAGUUGGAACCUGUUUGGCUUAGCUAGACCGGAUUGUAAACUGUAGAAACGUUUUCCUGGCACGCCAGAUAAAUAAGUCCUUUGGAACAGGGCAUCAUAGAGGGUGAGAAUCCCGUCUUUGGUCUGAGCUGUUGUCUUUUGUGAUACGUUUUCAAAGAGUCAGGUUGUUUGGGAAUGCAGCCUAAAUUGGGUGGUAAAUCUCACCUAAAGCUAAAUAUUUGCGAGAGACCGAUAGCGAACAAGUACCGUGAGGGAAAGAUGAAAAGAACUUUGAAAAGAGAGUUAAACAGUAUGUGAAAUUGUUAAAAGGGAACCGUUUGGAGCCAGACUGGCUUGAUCGUAAUCAAUCUAGGCUUCGGCCUGGAUGCACUUGCGGUCUAUGCCUGCCAACGACAGUUCUUUUUGAAGGAUAAAACUAGAAGGAAUGUGGCCCCUCGGGGUGUUAUAGCCUUCUAGAUAAUACUUUGGAUGGGACUGAGGAACGCAGUGAAUGCUAUUAUGGCGAGAUUUCUGGUCGCUUUUUUCUUGAGAAGGAUGAAUUUCUGCUUCGGGUGGUGCGUUCGUCUUUAAGAGAAAACUCGGCUAGUCAUUUUUCUAUUCACUUAGGUUGUUGGCUUAAUGACUCUAAAUGAC
rnacentral:rRNA from 1 species